GACGAACGCUGGCGGCGCGCCUAACACAUGCAAGUCGAACGAGCGAGAGAGAGCUUGCUUUCUCGAGCGAGUGGCGAACGGGUGAGUAACGCGUGAGGAAUCUGCCUCAAAGAGGGGGACAACAGUUGGAAACGACUGCUAAUACCGCAUAAGCCCACGGUGCCGCAUGGCACAGAGGGAAAAGGAGUAAUCCGCUUUGAGAUGGCCUCGCGUCCGAUUAGCUAGUUGGUGAGGUAACGGCCCACCAAGGCGACGAUCGGUAGCCGGACUGAGAGGUUGAACGGCCACAUUGGGACUGAGACACGGCCCAGACUCCUACGGGAGGCAGCAGUGGGGAAUAUUGCACAAUGGGGGAAACCCUGAUGCAGCGACGCCGCGUGGAGGAAGAAGGUCUUCGGAUUGUAAACUCCUGUUGUUGGGGAAGAUAAUGACGGUACCCAACAAGGAAGUGACGGCUAACUACGUGCCAGCAGCCGCGGUAAAACGUAGGUCACAAGCGUUGUCCGGAAUUACUGGGUGUAAAGGGAGCGCAGGCGGGAAGACAAGUUGGAAGUGAAAUCUAUGGGCUCAACCCAUAAACUGCUUUCAAAACUGUUUUUCUUGAGUAGUGCAGAGGUAGGCGGAAUUCCCGGUGUAGCGGUGGAAUGCGUAGAUAUCGGGAGGAACACCAGUGGCGAAGGCGGCCUACUGGGCACCAACUGACGCUGAGGCUCGAAAGUGUGGGUAGCAAACAGGAUUAGAUACCCUGGUAGUCCACACCGUAAACGAUGAUUACUAGGUGUUGGAGGAUUGACCCCUUCAGUGCCGCAGUUAACACAAUAAGUAAUCCACCUGGGGAGUACGACCGCAAGGUUGAAACUCAAAGGAAUUGACGGGGGCCCGCACAAGCAGUGGAGUAUGUGGUUUAAUUCGACGCAACGCGAAGAACCUUACCAAGUCUUGACAUCCCUUGACAGACAUAGAAAUAUGUAAUCUCUUCGGAGCAAGGAGACAGGUGGUGCAUGGUUGUCGUCAGCUCGUGUCGUGAGAUGUUGGGUUAAGUCCCGCAACGAGCGCAACCCUUAUGGUCAGUUACUACGCAAGAGGACUCUGGCCAGACUGCCGUUGACAAAACGGAGGAAGGUGGGGAUGACGUCAAAUCAUCAUGCCCUUUAUGACUUGGGCUACACACGUACUACAAUGGCGUUAAACAAAGAGAAGCAAGACCGCGAGGUGGAGCAAAACUCAGAAACAACGUCCCAGUUCGGACUGCAGGCUGCAACUCGCCUGCACGAAGUCGGAAUUGCUAGUAAUCGUGGAUCAGCAUGCCACGGUGAAUACGUUCCCGGGCCUU
rnacentral:rRNA from 1 species